rnacentral:lncRNA from 1 species
CACAAACACUGGUCGUUAGGCUACUCUAAAAACAAAACAAAAAUAGAUUUCUGAAGAAUGGAAGAUGAAACUCACCUUUAAUCAGCACCAGAAACCCCAAUGAAAGAGUCUUGGUUGGUGGAGCUCCCCAGGUCAUCCCACGCGUUGUCUUUCAUGUGUUCACCGCGGUCAGUGUUGAAAUUCCUGGGAUCACGAUGACACCGGGGAACCAAGACAAGAGCUGAAUUGGGAGUCAGGAGAGGUGAGAUCAAGGCACAGAUCUUAGGCCAGAUAGUCCUGCAGCCGUGAGGACACCAGUGACCCUGGCCCCUGCAGAGUCUUGGUUUCUUCGUGUGGAAAAUAAAGGGCUAGGACUUUGUCUCCAAAAACUUAUACCAGGAGACUUAUAUCAAGUCUCUGCUUGAAUAUCCUGGUGCCACCCCAAACUAAUUCAGCUACAGUUGCCUCCCUCGAUCAGCCCACUCAGGCGAGCUCCUUUCCCCCCUCUCCCUCAGUCAAUGGGGGAAUUUUAGGCUGUGACCUAAGUGAUGGCUUCCCUUCUAUAUUAAAGGUCAUGCUCCCCCGUCCCCCACUCCAUAUCUGGGAGAGAAAUGAGGAUUAUCUCCCUUCUCCCACGUCUGAGUUUCCCCAACCCCUGGCCCUCUGAGGCCUCUUCCCUUCCUGGUGGCUCUGGGUUCUGUGUGGGCCCAACUCAGGUCAGCACGGGGCUAGGCCACCCCAGCAUCCUGCUCCCCCCUGAAUCAUGGCCUACGGGAGGGGGAAGACAGACUCACGGGCCUCUCCCUCUCUUCACAACAUGAGCCCGCAAACGUGAAGAAGUGUAUUAGACUUUCCCAAAGAUCGGAAAAGCUAAAGUGACAAUGUAGAAGAGGGAGGAUUUUAAACAGCCACCAAUCCCAUUUUUCUUGGACAAGCAUCUAAGAAGUGAAACAUUUCGCAGGAGGAAACUCUUCAGGUGGGUGCUCUCUGGAACCCAAUCUUGUUGCUGUGACCUUAUUCUGUGCCUUCCUUCUGGAGAGACAGCCUUCCUCCUCGGACCUCCCCACUCUGGGCUGUGCAAUCCCUCUUAUGCCCGGGAAGCCCCACCUCCCAUCUUUAGAGACUGGCCUGUCAUGCAGCGAUCUCCCAGCCUCGGCUCCACUCCAUCCCCGGGUUACUCAUCCCUCGCUUUCGGCCUUAUUUUGACUCACUCUUCAGACAUCAUUUCAAAGGAAUUUCUGUUUAACCACAGCGCCCACAUGAAGAAUCCUACUAAAACUUCAUUUUCACUAAGUUUCAGAAGACAGAUGACUUAAAUUAGCUACAUUGGCCUUGCAGGAAGCUCCCUAAUCCCCAACUGCCGGUGCAGUUGUUGCUGGUGGGUCUGAUCUGCUGCGGGCAAGCUCUGUUUCUCUCUCUCACACACACACACACACGCACGUGCACACACAAGCGUGCAUGCACACCUACACAGGCACACUCACCCCUACAUCCACAAAGCCCAGCCAGGCAUUAAACCGACUACAUGUGCCCUCUUCUGCUUGAAUCCCCAGCGUGGACUGGUCACUGGGACCAGUGGACACACUCCUUGUGUGGCUGGGCCUCUGCUUUUGUGGUCAAAAGGAAAG